rnacentral:rRNA from 1 species
ACUCCUACGGGAGGCAGCAGUGGGGAAUAUUGCACAAUGGGGGAAACCCUGAUGCAGCAACGCCGCGUGAGUGAUGACGGUCUUCGGAUUGUAAAGCUCUGUCUUUAGGGACGAUAAUGACGGUACCUAAGGAGGAAGCCACGGCUAACUACGUGCCAGCAGCCGCGGUAAUACGUAGGUGGCAAGCGUUGUCCGGAUUUACUGGGCGUAAAGGGAGCGUAGGUGGAUAUUUAAGUGGGAUGUGAAAUACCCGGGCUUAACCUGGGUGCUGCAUUCCAAACUGGAUAUCUAGAGUGCAGGAGAGGAAAGGAGAAUUCCUAGUGUAGCGGUGAAAUGCGUAGAGAUUAGGAAGAAUACCAGUGGCGAAGGCGCCUUUCUGGACUGUAACUGACACUGAGGCUCGAAAGCGUGGGGAGCAAACAGGAUUAGAUACCCUGGUAGGCGUAG